GAUGAACGCUGGCGGCGUGCCUAAUACAUGCAAGUCGAGCGAACAGACGUGGAGCUUGCUCCUCUGACGUUAGCGGCGGACGGGUGAGUAACACGUGGAUAACCUACCUAUAAGACUGGGAUAACUUCGGGAAACCGGAGCUAAUACCGGAUAAUAUAUUGAGCCGCAUGGUUCAAUAGUGAAAGACGGUUUUGCUGUCACUUAUAGAUGGAUCCGCGCCGCAUUAGCUAGUUGGUAAGGUAACGGCUUACCAAGGCAACGAUGCGUAGCCGACCUGAGAGAGUGAUCGGCCACACUGGAACUGAGACACGGUCCAGACUCCUACGGGAGGCAGCAGUAGGGAAUCUUCCGCAAUGGGCGAAAGCCUGACGGAGCAACGCCGCGUGAGUGAUGAAGGUCUUCGGAUCGUAAAACUCUGUUAUUAGGGAAGAACAAAUGUGUAAGUAACUAUGCACGUCUUGACGGUACCUAAUCAGAAAGCCACGGCUAACUACGUG
rnacentral:rRNA from 1 species